rnacentral:rRNA from 1 species
CCUACGGGGGACAGCAGUAGGGAAUCUUUCACAAUGGGCGAAAGCCUGAUGGAGCAACGCCGCGUGCAGGAUGAAGGCCUUCGGGUUGUAAACUGCUUUUAUAAGCGAGAAAUAUGAUGGUAACUUAUGAAUAAGGAUCGGCUAACUACGUGCCAGCAGCCGCGGUCAUACGUAGGAGCCGAGCAUUAUCCGGAGUGACUGGGUGUAAAGAGUUGCGUAGGUGGGAUAAUAAGUAGCUAGUGAAAUCUGGUGGCUCAACCAUUCAGACUAUUAGCUAAACUGUUAAGCUCGAGACCGUUAGGGGUAACUGGAAUUUCUAGUGUAGGAGUGAAAUCCGUAGAUAUUAGAAGGAACACCAAUAGCGUAGGCAGGUUGCUGGGACGGUUCUGACACUAAGGCACGAAAGCGUAGGGAGCAAACGGGAUUAGAUACCCCAGUAGUC